rnacentral:rRNA from 1 species
AACGAACGCUGGCGGCAGGCUUAACACAUGCAAGUCGAACGCCCCGCAAGGGGAGUGGCAGACGGGUGAGUAACGCGUGGGAACAUACCCUUUUCUACGGAAUAGCUCUGGGAAACUGGAAUUAAUACCGUAUACGCCCUACGGGGGAAAGAUUUAUCGGGGAAGGAUUGGCCCGCGUUGGAUUAGCUAGUUGGUGGGGUAAAGGCCUACCAAGGCGACGAUCCAUAGCUGGUCUGAGAGGAUGAUCAGCCACUUUGGGACUGAGACACGGCCCAAACUCCUACGGGAGGCAGCAGUGGGGAAUAUUGGACAAUGGGCGCAAGCCUGAUCCAGCCAUGCCGCGUGAGUGAUGAAGGCCUUAGGGUUGUAAAGCUCUUUCACCGAUGAAGAUAAUGACGGUAGUCGGAGAAGAAGCCCCGGCUAACUUCGUG